CGUGAAAUUGUUGAAAGGGAAGCGCUCGCUACCAGACUUGGGUUCGGCGGUUCAACCGGGGCCACGCCCCGGGGCACUCCGCCGUCCCAGGCCAGCAUCAGCUCUCCGUCGGGGGCAAAGGCGUCGGGAAUGUGGCUCUCCUUCGGGGGAGUGUUAUAGCCCGGCGUGUCAUACCCUUCGGGGGGCUGAGGUACGCGCUUCUGCAAGGAU
rnacentral:rRNA from 1 species